GCGCUGAACCAGCUUCUCGGCGCCAUUUUGUCUGGGCAGAGGUGGCCGCAGCUGUAUCGCAUUUUAUGUUUCUGGCGAGAGGAGAGCGGAAUCUUUAUCCCGUGAAUUCAUUUAACUGCGGCAGUCAUCCGCCGGUUCCUUCAGGACAGCACCUAGUGAAGGUCGGAAGAGUCCGGAUCUCUCAGAAAGCAGUUAGUCUGAAGAAAACAGAACAGCUCAGUGACAGACAUCUGCAAGUGUUCCUGAGAUUCCCUUGUGAAUGAUAGAAAUGAAAGUGAAUGGAUAGUCUUAUCAGAUAAGUGUAUUUUGAGUCUAAAUGUAUUUGAUUUUUUCCAUAAGAUGGCUCUAGUAGUAAUCUUUAUUUGAAACAAUCUUAUUACAUUGUAUCACAACAGCUGGCAUAUCAGCAUGCACUUUAAAAAAUGUUAAAAAAAUGGGUGAAUUUUUGUGUAGCUAUUUUAAUAUUGAAGAUGGAAGAAGAAAAACAUUUUCAGUAUAUUGUGCCUUUUUAUUUCAAGAAAGGUAAAAAUGCUACUGAAACAAAGAUUUGUGCAGUGUAUGGAGAUGGUGCUGUGACUGAUCGAACAUCUUGCAAGUGGUUUGCAAAGUUUCAUACUGGAGAUUUCUCACGGGAUGAUGCUCCCACUUAAACUAGCUAAAAUUUGAUGAAAAGUGUCUGUAAUUAAUCAAUAGAAAAAGCAUAGUCUUCCGUCAGGAUAAUACAAGACUGAAUGUUUGAUGACCAGGCAAAAACUGUCUUAGCUUGGCUGGUAAGUUGAUUCAUUUUCCAUAUUCUCCAGAUAGUAAGCCUUCAGAUUUAUAUUUAGUUUGGUCUUUAAAAAAUUAUCUUAAUGGAAAAAAUUUCAAUUCCCUGGAAGACUGUAAAAGGCAAGUGAACAGUUCUUUGCUCAAAAAGAUAAAAAGUUUUCGUAAGCUGGAAUUAAAAAGUUGCCUAAAAAAUGUCAGAAGAUAGUGGAAUAAAACAGUGACUACAUUCUUCAAUAAAGUUCUUGGUGAAAAUGAAAAAAUGUGUCUUUUUUUUUUUUUAAACUUAAAAAUUGAAGGACCUUUCUGGCCAAUCCAGUAUUUGUAAUCUGUAAACCAAAACUGUAUUCUUUAAAACGGUUUUUUUUUUUUUUUUUUUUUGAUACCAGUAUCGAGAUUCCUGAAAAUAAAUUAGUAACCUUGUGAAAGCAAAAUGUACC
ensembl:lncRNA